rnacentral:lncRNA from 1 species
ACAGGUAUAUCUAUUUUAUUCCACAAUAAAAGUCUGCACCAUGUUUAAGUGACAGAUAUUGCACAUCAAAUUGCAUAUUUUGGUCUAAAUACAAUAUUAGUUAAGUGAAAGACAAACAAGAUUUAGAAUUAUUCUAUACAAUAGGAAAAGUCUUCUAAAAUAUCAACUAUGGUCAUAUUAGCAAGCAGAAACAAUUCUAAUGUGUGAAAUUGCCUAUUCAAGAAAUACUGUAUAUUUUGAAGAAAGAAAAAUUCAGACAAAUAAACAUUAUCUCCUGUUUUCAUAUAAUUAUUUCGUAAUUUCAUACUUUAUACAAGGGAUAUGAUGAUUUUCACCAGGAAUCAACAAUGCUACUCAAUAAGUUACUUUAAAAUAUGUAAAUAUUUUAGAAGAAAAAAAAUAGAUAUGACAUCAAAGAAGUAUGAGAUACAAAAAAGAAUAGUGUUAAAAUAGUAGUUUCUAAAUUUGGAUAUAAAUUAAAUGCAUAUUGAAAUGUUGUCAAAGGACAAUGUGAACUAAAUUUAAAUAUAAAUCACAGUUAAAAUUCUUCAUUUAAUGAACAGAUAUGUUUAUGUUUUAACUAUUUUGUUGUUGUUUAUCUUUUUAAAAAAAAAUAUCCAGAUACUUCAAACUCAAAGAAAAUAUUUCCAGCCUAUAUGUCUACAUAAAACAAGUUGACCAUAUAACAGUCCUUCUACUUACAAUAACAAUUUUACAACUAUAGAUAUAUUAACUUUCAAACAAGGCAUUAUAAAAUCAUGUUAUACAUCCAAUGUGUUCAACUGGUUUUCUUACUGGUUCUUAUAGUGAACCUACACUUUGUAAGAACAGGUAAAGAGAAAUCACUGAUCUACUUACAAGUAUACUAACAUUAUGUGCAGGUAUUUAACCUCAAACCUUAACUAAUAUCAUCUACAUGUAUAACAAUAUUGAUACUACAUCAUGGUUUCUUCUACUAUAUGGUCAAUAAUUAUUCAAAAUCUGAUACUGCAAAUUUCAGAUUUUUUUUAGAAAGCAACUAUUACUGCAACUGUUGAACAUGGAAAAGAUAAAAAUAAUAUCACCAUUUAAGAAACUGUUGCAUGCAAACAAUGCUGCCAAGAUUUUAAUGCAAGUUUCAUAUUUGUGAAACCUAUUAAGUAACAGUUUUUCUCAUUUUAUUUCAAAUUAUUGCAAAAAUUUCUGAAUUUGCAGUGUUCAAAUAAAAAGAAAUAUACUUAAAAAAAACAGCUGAUCAAUAGAAUUGUUUGAAUCCAGAAAUGAAGUAGAUCUCACAUUUCUUAGAAGAUUAAAAUUUAAAAACUAAUAUUUUUACAUUCGAAAACAAAUAAGAUAAAAAUUCUUUCACAAUUAUGCAAACAGACCUGUAACAAAAAUGUUACUUAUGAUGUUAAAGUGACAUCAUAAACAUGUAUCAUAAUUAGUGUACAGUAUUUGACAAGGAUGUUCAAAUUAUGCAGAUUUAAUUCGAAUUAGAUCAGAACAAAAGUAAAUAGUUUGAUAAUUAAAAUUACAUCAACAUCUUUUAGCUUGACAUUUUAUAGCAAAAUAUCAAACACCAAUGUUUGGUGUGGCUAUUUGUUUUCUAGAUGUGAAAACAAAUCAAUUUACCUCCUUUUUUAGUUUUGUCAAACAGUAAAUACCAGUUAGCAAAUUUUAAAAUAAAAUACACAUUACAGCUCAGUAUUAGAAAGUUAAAGAACAAAUAUCAAGUCAAUGAGAAAUACACAAGUUGAGUUAUAUGUAAGAACAAAUUCCAUUCUCAUUUGGUAUAAAAAUUUAAAAAAAAAACAGGAAGUGACUGGCUAGCAGAUCUGAAAAAAAAUCCUAACACCAUAUAACUAUAUCAUCUUUAAGAUCAAAUCAUUCCAUAAUACAGAAGCUGAUAAAUAUGUAAAGAAAAUUGUGGAUAGUACACCGUAAUAUUCUUAUAAAAAAAAUCAUGCCAUACUGCAAUUGAUUAUUCACAAAAUGAUACAGAAGGAAAGUUUAUAUCAAUAAUGGAAUGUAUAAAUUUCUACUAUACCAGUAGAGUACUUUUUUUGCUACAUUCUUCAAUUACACUACUUUAAAAGUUAAAUUUGCAGCCUGUCAGACAAAAAUUAUUUUUGCAGACUGGCAAAAGUUGAUUUUGCAAAAUUUAUUACUCUUGAAAAACUAGCAUCCUUUUUAAUAAAAAAGAAAAAAAAAAGAAAAAAGAAACAUGUUGUACCAAACAAUGGUUUAAGUUCAAUAUUAAUGUUUUUAUUUUUGGAGAAUUUUUGUGUUGGUGGGAGAGCCUCGAGUGUUUCAGUAAAAUGCAUUCAUUACAUAUCAACAUGCAGGGUGAUUUAGUGCUUAAACAUUUUAAACAGACUCUUCAUCAUUUAAGACCAUAUGUUGGUGUUUUUGAUAAUGUGUAAAUGGAUUUCUCGUUUCAACUAAUCUUAUUAGUAGAAAAAAACUGAUUGUCAUGGAUAUUUAAAAGAAAUCACAAUAUAAUCUGCUUUUUAAAAUUAA